AGAUUCUGUAUGCCUGUCUUUAAAGGCAGGUAAAUGUCUGGAAAGAUACACACGUGUUAGCAGUGGUUACCUACAGGUAAAGGAGCUGUACAGUAUUCCAUUAUAUGGACGCACCAUCUGUUCCUGGACACUUGGAUAUUUCCUGUCUUUUGCUUCUACAAAUAAUGCUUCAAGGACUACUGCUGAACAUACACUUAUGCAUGGAUGUAUAAUUUUAUCUGUAUAAUAAAGUUUUAGAACUUGAA